CGGGGAGGUAGUGACGAAAAAUAACGAUACGGGACUCAUCCGAGGCCCCGUAAUCGGAAUGAGUACACUUUAAAUCCUUCAACAAGGAUCCAUUGGAGGGCAAGUCUGGUGCCAGCAGCCGCGGUAAUUCCAGCUCCAAUAGCGUAUAUUAAAGUUGUUGCGGUUAAAAAGCUCGUAGUUGAAUCUGUGUGUCACAGUGUCGGUUCACCGCUCGCGGUGUUUAACUGGCAUUAUGUGGUACGUCCUACCGGUGGGCUUAGCUCCUCGUCGGGCGGUCCAACCAAUAUCCCAUCGCGGUGCUCUUUACUGAGUGUCGAGGUGGGCCGGUACGUUUACUUUGAACAAAUUAGAGUGCUUAAAGCAGGCUACCUUCGCCUGAAUACUGUGUGCAUGGAAUAAUGGAAUAGGACCUCGGUUCUAUUUUGUUGGUUUUCGGAACCCCGAGGUAAUGAUUAAUAGGGACAGAUGGGGGCAUUCGUAUUGCGACGUUAGAGGUGAAAUUCUUGGAUCGUCGCAAGACGGACAGAAGCGAAAGCAUUUGCCAAAAAUGUUUUCAUUAAUCAAGAACGAAAGUUAGAGGUUCGAAGGCGAUCAGAUACCGCCCUAGUUCUAACCAUAAACGAUGCCAGCUAACGAUCCGCCGAAGUUCCUCCGAUGACUCGGCGGGCAGCUUCCGGGAAACCAAAGCUUUUGGGUUCCGGGGGAAGUAUGGUUGCAAAGCUGAAACUUAAAGGAAUUGACGGAAGGGCACCACCAGGAGUGGAGCCUGCGGCUUAAUUUGACUC
rnacentral:rRNA from 1 species